UGAAAAAGGAAGAAUUAUCUAGAAUGAUUCUCAAGUCUCCAGCAUGAGGGACCGGGUGUAAGUUAGCAACAUUAAUUAAUAUUGGAGAUGUUCAAAGAACAAGCACAGAACAUGGUGGAUAAAUAAGAAUAUACAGCUGCAUAUUAUUAAAUAAAUGUCUGGACCCGGCGCGGUGGCUCACAUCUGUAAUCCCAGCACUGUGGGAGGCUGAGGUGGGCAGCUCAUGAGGUCAGGAGUUCAAGACCAGCCUGGCCAACAUGGUGAAACCCCGUCUCUACAAAAGAUACAAAAAAUUAGUUGGGCAUGGUGGUGCACCCCUGCACUCCCAGCUACUCAGGAGUCUGAGACAGCAGAAUCGCUUGAACUCAGGAGGAAGAGGUUGCAGUGAGCCGAGAUCAUGCCAUCGCACUCCAGCAACAGGGCGAGACUCCAUCUCAAAAAAAAAAAAAAAGAAUAAAUAAAUAAAUAAAUAAAUAAAUAAAAAUAAAUAGUUUGUAAUCAUAUACUUACAUAGUAGGUGAUAGUAAGUAUAUAUUAAU
rnacentral:lncRNA from 1 species